rnacentral:rRNA from 1 species
ACGAACGCUGGCGGCGUGCUUAACACAUGCAAGUCGAACGGAAAGGCCCCUUUGGGGGUACUCGAGUGGCGACCGGGUGAGUAACACGUGAGUAACCUGCCCUUGACUUCGGGAUAACUUCAGGAAACUGGGGCUAAUACCGGAUAGGAAUCCUUGCUGCAUGGUGGGGGUUGGAAAGCUUCGGCGGUUUUGGAUGGACUCGCGGCUUAUCAGCUUGUUGGUGGGGUAGUGGCUUACCAAGGCUUUGACGGGUAGCCGGCCUGAGAGGGCGACCGGCCACAUUGGGACUGAGAUACGGCCCAGACUCCUACGGGAGGCAGCGGUGGGGAAGAUUGCACAAUGGGCGGAAGCCUGAUGCAGCAACGCCGCGGGCGGGAUGACGGCCUUCGGGUUGUAAACCGCUUUCAGCAGGGGCGAAGCUUGUGGUGACGGUACCUGCAGAAGAAGCACCGGCUAACUACGUG